UCUUGCAUAACAACGUCUCUUUUGAUGGUGCUCCAUGAUGACGUAUUGGCUUCCUUUAGUUCUUCUGGCGUAGUAUCUUGUGGCAAUCCAAGAGGUUCAUUGUCGAGAGUGAUGAAAACGCUAUUUCGGUAGUCUUCUGGAAGACUUUCGAAAUCCCACUCGUCAUAGAAAGAAAAAACUGCGAAAAAAUGUUUGCAAGGGAAAUGGGUAGUGUGCCAUAUGUUGCAGGUACAACUUGGUUCUCGGAAGUCUAUGAAAUGUUUCUUUCCAACAUUGCUCUCGCUCUUGACAUUGAAGGUGCCCUUCUUUAAAUUAACCGGAGUUAUGUCGUCCUGUUUGAAAAUGGCUGAAGCGUAUCGAUUUUUAAGGCAACAUUUCAAAAAAUGCGGAGGUCUGUUGUGCAAGUAUUCUGGGAUUGAUGGGUUGUACUUGCAGUAGGCGCUGCUCAGUCGUAGGUUUGCAUCCAAAUAGUGCUGAAGAACAUCGGGAAUGAAAGAUUCAACCAACAUCACCGCAAUACCAUACACAGAUUUGUCAAUACUUUGGGAAGGAAGUGUUGUUGCUGUUCAUAUGACAAUCCAUUCUUGCUUGCUGAAGCCCACCGUUUUAGCGCUUGCAACCUGUGAAAGUCGCAAACAUAAACCUGUACAUCGGGAAAACUUUUUUCUAUCGCGCCUAUUUCUGCUAAUGAGUAAUCCACCAUAAAAUAUUUUGGGUUCCA